rnacentral:lncRNA from 10 species
UUCAGCUACUUGGGAGGCUGAGGCAGGAGAAUCACUUGAACCUAGGAGGCAGAGGUUGCAGUGAGCUGAGAUCGUGCCAUUGCAUUCCAGCCUGGGCAUCAAGAGUGAAACUCCAUCUGAAAAAAAAAAAAAAAGAAUUUGGUUAUCAAGAUUGUAGUAAAUGGCAUUUGUGUAGUGAAAUUGUGGGUAAUGUUGAUAGUUUUUAGGGGGGUGCAGGUGCUUUCUUUUUUGGAAGUGAAGGGUUCUGCAUUGAUG